rnacentral:rRNA from 1 species
AGUGAACGCUGGCGGUAGGCCUAACACAUGCAAGUCGAACGGCAGCACAGUAAGAGCUUGCUCUUACGGGUGGCGAGUGGCGGACGGGUGAGGAAUACAUCGGAAUCUACUUUUUCGUGGGGGAUAACGGAGGGAAACUUACGCUAAUACCGCAUACGACCUACGGGUGAAAGCAGGGGAUCUUCGGACCUUGCGCGACUGAAUGAGCCGAUGUCGGAUUAGCUAGUUGGCGGGGUAAAGGCCCACCAAGGCGACGAUCCGUAGCUGGUCUGAGAGGAUGAUCAGCCACACUGGAACUGAGACACGGUCCAGACUCCUACGGGAGGCAGCAGUGGGGAAUCUUGGACAAUGGGCGCAAGCCUGAUCCAGCCAUACCGCGUGGGUGAAGAAGGCCUUCGGGUUGUAAAGCCCUUUUGUUGGGAAAGAAAAGCAGCAGGUUAAUACCCCGCUGUUCUGACGGUACCCAAAGAAUAAGCACCGGCUAACUUCGUG